GAUCCUGGCUCAGGAUGAACGCUGGCGGCGCGCCUAACACAUGCAAGUCGAACGGCACCUGCCCUCGGGCAGAAGCGAGUGGCGAACGGCUGAGUAACACGUGGAGAACCUGCCCCCUCCCCCGGGAUAGCCGCCCGAAAGGACGGGUAAUACCGGAUACCCCGGGGUGCCGCAUGGCACCCCGGCUAAAGCCCCCGACGGGAGGGGAUGGCUCCGCGGCCCAUCAGGUAGACGGCGGGUGACGGCCCACCGUGCCGACAACGGGUAGCCGGGUUG
rnacentral:rRNA from 1 species